UACGUAGGGUGCAAGCGUUGUCCGGAAUUAUUGGGCGUAAAGAGCUCGUAGGCGGUUCGUCGCGUCGGCUGUGAAAUCCCGAGGCUCAACCUCGGGUCUGCAGUCGAUACGGGCGGACUGGAGUUCGGCAGGGGAGACUGGAAUUCCUGGUGUAGCGGUGGAAUGCGCAGAUAUCAGGAAGAACACCGGUGGCGAAGGCGGCUCUCUGGGCCUUACCUGACGCUGAGGAGCGAAAGCGUGGGUAGCGAACAGG
rnacentral:rRNA from 1 species